GGGGGACAGGGUGACAGGUGGUGCAUGGUUGUCGUCAGCUCGUGUCGUGAGAUGUUGGGUUAAGUCCCGCAACGAGCGCAACCCUCGACCUUAGUUGCCAGCAUUCAGUUGGGCACUCUAAGGUGACUGCCGGCUAAAAGUCGGAGGAAGGUGGGGACGACGUCAAAUCAUCAUGCCCCUUAUGACCUGGGCUACACACGUGCUACAAUGGGCGGUACAAAGGGUCGCGAACCCGCGAGGGGGAGCCAAUCCCAAAAAGCCGCUCUCAGUUCGGAUUGCAGGCUGCAACUCGCCUGCAUGAAGCCGGAAUCGCUAGUAAUCGCGGAUCAGCAUGCCGCGGUGAAUACGUUCCCGGGCCUU
rnacentral:rRNA from 1 species